rnacentral:rRNA from 1 species
UACGGGGGGGGCAAGCGUUGUUCGGAAUUACUGGGCGUAAGGGGCUCGUAGGCGGCCAACUAAGUCGGAUGUGAAAUCCCCAGGCUUAACCUGGGAACUGCAUCCGAUACUGGAUGGCUUGAAUCCGGGAGAGGGAUGCAGAAUUCCAGGUGUAGCGGUGAAAUGCGUAGAUAUCUGGAGGAAUACCGGUGGCGAAGGCGGCAUCCCGGACCGGCAUUGACGCUGAUGAGCGAAAGCGUGGGGAGCAAACAGG